rnacentral:misc_RNA from 1 species
GUACUAGCUUAACAAGCUCAAUAUGCAUAAUUGCAUAUAUGGCCAUAUUGUAGGGAUUUAGUUUCAAAAAUCAGUCCAUUUGUUUACCAGAUUGGUUUUCCAUUUACGCAAAUGUUAUUGCAUAUUUGCCUUCUUAUAACUCUCAAAGGCAUCUGGAUUAAUAUUCUUCUUCUUAUGAUUUGUGAAAUUAAUGAAAGAUUUUUUAUUGACAUUUCAAAUUCUAUUUGCGCUGUCUUCAGUUUCUCUUUUUUCCCACUGACAGCAUGUAACAGUCAAUUGUGAGAAGUUUCUGUCUGCAGUAUGCAGCAGUCCACUUAAAUAACGACCUAAAUCACAUAAUACCCAUCAAAUAUCAUUUUUUUAUAAGCAAUAAAUAUUGAUAAAAGAUGCAAGGAGUGCCAUUCCAAGUAUUUGUUUGAACUCAUCAUUUUCAUAACUUUUAUUUUGAACUGCAUUAAAAUUUUAUUAUAUUUGAUAUUUCUGUUUUAUGCUUCCUUUGAAAUUUGCACUUUUUCUGCAGCACUUUUUAAAAUGGUUUGUGGAGCAAAUGAAACUGAUGUAAUCAUAGGAAUUCCUGCUAUCAUGCUUCCGCAAGAUGCUGGUGCAAGCUUGGAA